ACCAUUACUUCUUCAGCUCUUCUCACAGCCUUCAGGUAGGAGACACGCUGACAGCCCUUACUCUUGUCACUUCUGUCUCCUUCAUCCUAACAGGGCAAUCUGGAUAUUCGGCGGGUGUUCAUCACCACAAUUACAUUAUCUAACCUCCCCUUGCAUUCAAUACUCUUCACGUCUACAUACACUUGACAUAUGUCCAAAUCUUUUGCAUUUAUGGCACUGAAGGGGUUUGCACGAAGGUUCUUACAGGUUCUCAUUUAGCCUAACUUUACAUGAGAAGGGAGAGACUUCAUCAAAGAACAAAAGUAUGUAUGAAGUUAAUUUCUUCACUUCAUCUACCUGAAGGGUCAGUCUACGUGCACUGUCCACUUCACUUACUUCCUCAGGUAUUACAUCUGCACAUAUUUUAUGCGCCACCCUUGAUCAGGAUUCAGUUCUAUUACAUUACACUUGUCAUUGGACAAAGGCAUCUUCGCUUGUGGUAUGGUUUCGGAAGCAUAAGGACCUUAUCUUUCAUGUCAGUGAGAAAUACUGUAGUUUUCAAAAAACAAAAGGUUAAAUUGAUACACACCUUGAUUGGAUAAGGGUUCUCAAACGGCCAUAUUUCCAUGUUACAGUGCUUGUUUAUGGAAGACAGAGUGGACUACCUGUGCUAAUUAGCUAGCUGCGUCUAUACAAAUACCUGUGUGUAAAUGGAAGACAGACACCACAAACAUAUUGUCUCUAACAAAUACUGAUAGGCACUCUGAUUUGAAGAUCCAUACACAAAACAUUUCACUCAUAUCUUCUUGAGGCCCACUCCGCUCCGCAGCCCACUUCUUGUGACCCUCACUGAUGGCACUUCACCCAACACCUCCAUGACAUUAAUCGAGACUUCAAAAGGUUCUCCUAGGUUACAUUGGUCCUAAACCCUCACUCCGACUAAAAACGAGUUUGCUAUUUUACACCACAACUUUACUUCUCGUUUCCUUUCUUUUUGGCCAUUGUAACCCACUCAUUAUCACUCUUCGGGUUCUCAUCUUCACCCUACUCGCCAGCAGCUUCAAACAAUACAUCCAUUUCCACCAUCUUCGAAAAACCUUCCUUGGACAUCACCUGCUGCAUGGUGGGAUAGAGGAGCAUCCUCUUCAGGAGAUCAAUGACCAUAGCAUAAAUGAGAGUACAGGUUUUGAAAUAAAUACUUCAACUAUAAAUUCAUCAGAACUGUGCUGGGUCGAGAUUAUAACAGUACAUGACCAUUAAGGACAGAUUGAUCUCCAAGAUGUUCAUACGUUCAUAAAUGACCAGCAGGGUCAAAUAAUAAUCACAGUGGUUGUAGAGGGUGCAACAGGAGUAAAUGUCACUUGGCUUUUCAUAGCCGGGCAUUCAGGGUUAAAAUAGCAGGUGCGGUAGAGAGAGAGUGUUGAAAAAAGCAGGUCUGGGACAACACAUACCCUAUGCAUCCACACACUCAUUCUCUCCCACCAUCCUACACAUAUUCAUCAUCCCUCACCCUGUCAUUCAUAUACACAAACGCACACAUCCACACACAUGCACAAUCAUAGAACAGUUAUUGACAAACAUGCUAUAUUUAUUCCUUUGUCAAUUUCACUGUCCAUUGGCAUCGGCUACUUCUAUCGUUAUUUCAUAGAGAAGAACAGUUAUUUGAGUAAAGUUGAGUAUAGAUUGUAUUGGGGGGAGGCGGAAAAGGAUAUUGUCUCAACUUAUGAUAAGCUGGUCUCAGGCAUCACUGAGCCUAGUGCGCUCAUCGAUAUUUCCUACUUUGACCUCUUCUUAAAGCAGGGGGCUCUCCUCCUUCAACUAGGAAGGUUUCUGGUGAGGUGUCUUGUAGCUUGAUUAGGGCUUCAUCUGCGAUUGUGAAUUCCAUCCUUUUCAUUCCCUUCCAUACCACCAUACCUACAGCAUUGCCAGGAAGCAGAGUUGAGAUUUGAUUCAUUUUUCCUACAGUGACUGAUUGGAAUGUAAUGCUUUCUUUUUUUCUUGUUUCUCACUUCAGUCACUUCACAGAUGGUGUUAAAGCACUCCGUACCAGUGAUAGUGGUUCAAAGCCACUGCUCCUGUGUUGCAGGAAGUGCUUUGUGCAAUCAUCUGGUGGCCCUUCUUUAUCAGACAGCGCACUACUCUCAACUAAACAUUCCUGCUGCACCACCAGUUCACAGCUGCACAGACACAGAACAGUGUUGGCACAAGCCAAGAACACUUGGUGUGAAACCAGGUCUGGUUGAUGAGAUAGAGUUCCGUAAACCUACUAACUCUUGUGCUGAUGGAAUAAGAAGUUCUCUCUACAAAGCACUCAAUGGAUAAAUGCCUGACAUGGACCUUCUCCUCGUCUCAGAAACGUAUGCCAACUUUUCUCCACUUACUGCCCCUCUUGUGACAACACUGGAAAUGUCAGCUGACGUGCCCCUGGUUGAGUCCGCCUUUGGGCCAGUGCAAGCCGGCAGUGUUCUGUCCUAUCAGCUUCCACAGCCAAAGACCCGUGAAAUUGUGAAGAUUGCCGAUGCCACUUCUCCACCAAUACUUCCAUUAGAUGGCUACAGGCUUCAGGCUUCCCAGUGUGCUUACGUCCUUAGCCAUCAGGUGCAGUUCCACCUCAAGGCAUUAGAGACAACCUACGAGAUGUCACACAAAGUCGAGGUUGCUACAAGGGAGCAGAGCAGCAGCCCGGAAUGGCAUCAGUUCAGGAAAAUGAGAAUAACAUCCUCUCGUUUCCGAGAGGUUUGCCAUGUCCGGGGAGAGACCUCAGCUGACCACAUGUCCGAGGGAUCUGGUAUGCAGACCAUGGAGAUGAAGAUACAGAAUGGAGAGAUGAAGAUAAAGAGAUCUCAUGCUUACUACUGGCAGGUGCAAGGUCAAAUCCUUCUCACAGGUUGUAGCUGGUGUGACUUUGUCAUCUGUGCACAGGAGGACGUCCUAGUUGAAAGGAUAUAUAAAGAUCUACAGGUUUCAAAAACUAUAAGAGAGAAGGUUGACCCCUUUUAUUUUUACCAUUACUUGCUGAAGUGUCUAUCUCGCACCUGAAUGGAUCCCCUGCAUGGGUGCCAAGUUUAGUGGUUUUAUGAAAAAUAAAUAUUGAUGUUCUUGUGAAGAAAUCUACAGUAGAAUAGAUGUUUUAAAAAAAAAAUGUAUUUCAGCAAAUGUUCAACAGUUCAGUUAAUCAAUUACACAUCUCUAACAUUGUAUUCUAUCUUGCAUUCUGGCUAUUCUGUGUUUACUUGAUUUCUUUCCCCCACCCCUGUUACUCAUUGCCUAAUUAAAGCCAAUACAAGCUCCACACAAAUGAUUGAUACAUGUCGUAGAUUAAAUAAAUUAUUAUUUUGCUGCUAGCAAAUAAACACAUGUACAUUUACACUGGCUUGGCC